rnacentral:rRNA from 1 species
CACUCCUGCGGGAGGCAGCAGUAGGGAAUCUUCCACAAUGGGUGCAAACCUGAUGGAGCAAUGCCGCGUGAGUGAAGAAGGUCUUCGGAUCGUAAAGCUCUGUUGUUAGAGAAGAACACGUGCUAGGUAACUACUAGCGCCUUGACGGUAUCUAACCAGAAAGUCACGGCUAACUACGUGCCAGCAGCCGCGGUAAUACGUAGGUGACAAGCGUUGUCCGGAUUUAUUGGGCGUAAAGGGAGCGCAGGCGGUCUGUUUAGUCUAAUGUGAAAGCCCACGGCUUAACCGUGGAACGGCAUUGGAAACUGACAGACUUGAAUGUAGAAGAGGAAAAUGGAAUUCCAAGUGUAGCGGUGGAAUGCGUAGAUAUUUGGAGGAACACCAGUGGCGAAGGCGAUUUUCUGGUCUAACAUUGACGCUGAGGCUCGAAAGCGUGGGGAGCGAACAGGAUUAGAUACCCCUGUAGUCCCAUGA